GAUGAACGCUGGCUACAGGCUUAACACAUGCAAGUCGAGGGGAAACGACGGGGAAGCUUGCUUCCCCGGGCGUCGACCGGCGCACGGGUGAGUAACGCGUAUCCAACCUGCCUCUGACUGAGGGAUAACCCGUCGAAAGUCGGCCUAAUACCUCAUGGCAUCGUCUGCGGGCAUCCAACGACGAUUAAAGAUUUCAUCGGUCAGGGAUGGGGAUGCGUCUGAUUAGCUUGUUGGCGGGGUAACGGCCCACCAAGGCUACGAUCAGUAGGGGUUCUGAGAGGAAGGUCCCCCACAUUGGAACUGAGACACGGUCCAAACUCCUACGGGAGGCAGCAGUGAGGAAUAUUGGUCAAUGGGCGGGAGCCUGAACCAGCCAAGUAGCGUGCAGGAAGACGGCCCUAUGGGGUGUAAACUGCUUUUAUGCGGGGAUAAAGUGAGGGACGUGUCCUUCAUUGCAGGUACCGCAUGAAUAAGGACCGGCUAAUUCCCGUGCCGCAGCCGCGGGUAUACGGAAGGGUCUGGCGUUAUCCCGGAUUAUUUGGUUUAAAAGGGAACCUAGGCCCGGGGAUUUAACCGGGUUGUGAAAUGCAGGUGCUCAACGUCUGCACUGCAGCGCGAACUGGUCCACUAGAGUGUGCGCAACGCAGGCGGAAUUCGUCGUGUAGCGGUGAAAUGCUUAGAUAUGACGAAGAACUCCGAUUGCGAAGGCAGCCUGCGGGAGCACAACUGACGCUGAAGCUCGAAAGUGCGGGUAUCGAACAGGAUUAGAUACCCUGGUAGUCCGCACGGUAAACGAUGGAUGCCCGUUGUCAGGCUGUUUCAGCCUGGUGACCAAGCGAAAGCAUUAAGCAUCCCACCUGGGGAGUACGCCGGCAACGGUGAAACUCAAAGGAAUUGACGGGGGCCCGCACAAGCGGAGGAACAUGUGGUUUAAUUCGAUGAUACGCGAGGAACCUUACCCGGGCUUGAAUUGCAGACGAACGAUUCAGAGAUGAUGAGGCCUUUCGGGGCGUCUGUGAAGGUGCUGCAUGGUUGUCGUCAGCUCGUGCCGUGAGGUGUCGGCUUAAGUGCCAUAACGAGCGCAACCCCUUUCUUCAGUUGCCAUCAGGUGAUGCUGGGCACUCUGUAGACACUGCCACCGCAAGGUGUGAGGAAGGUGGGGAUGACGUCAAAUCAGCACGGCCCUUACGUCCGGGGCUACACACGUGUUACAAUGGCCGGUACAGAGAGUUGAUUUUGUGCAAACACGAUCCAAUCCUUAAAUCCGGUCCCAGUUCGGACUGGGGUCUGCAACCCGACCCCACGAAGCUGGAUUCGCUAGUAAUCGCGCAUCAGCCAUGGCGCGGUGAAUGCGUUCCCGGGCCU
rnacentral:rRNA from 1 species